GGGAGCAGAGGUGGUGCCAAAAUUUGUGCUUCUCCACCUCUGCUGCGUGCGAGCCGCUUCGCUCCACCAGCAGCCCAGAGGGCAGCUCGCAGGGUUUGAGCCCUGCUGCCCAGAGGCUGCUUCACACCUCCUCUUUCCCUUCCCUUGCACCUCCCUCCGGCAGCCCCCGAGGCGAGGAUGCUCCAGCAAAGCAGAAGGCACGGUGCGUAAAGGCUCCGUUGCAGGAGGUGGGGGCUUGGCAGCAGCUUUUUGCCCCUCCUGUGCCCUCCCUCACCCUGCUGCCUGCCAGGGCGUGAGACCUGGCUGGAGCAAAUCCCCCGAGCCAACCCUCCUGUCCUGGCCGUGUCCAGGCACACAGAGCCCACAUCCAAGCUCCCGAGCCCCCUCCAUCCAAAUGCCAAAUUCAUGGGGAGGUGGCUGGGGUACCCUCAGCCAUGCAGGCUGCCCAGCCUCUAGACUGCUGCUCCAGCUCCUAAGGGACCCGCACAGCCCAUGGUGGAGCAGGAGGGCUGCAGAAUGGGGCAAAAUCCUCAGCAGGAUGUUUUGUGCCGGAGGAGUUUGUGCCUCUGCAGUCCCAAGGCUUGAGCAAGGCUUUAGAGGCAUGGGCAGCUCAAGCAGCUGCUGGGGGUUGCACUCAGAGCAUGAGCAGAGCCAUCUGAAAGCCACUUUGAAACCCCAGCAAAUGGUCCAGAGGAGAAAAGGGACAUGCCAGACCUGAGGGACACCGUGAGGACAUGCAGGUGCCUUUGGAGGACACCGAAAGUGAAUUUUGGGUCCAGGCAGUGCUGGGUGCACGCGGUACUGCCAGCACCUUGCUGGGCAGAAGGGUGGGAUGGAGCCUAUGCUAAUGGGGGGCACGAGGAGAUUUGGGGCUGUUCCUUGAAGGGAUGGGUCCCAGGAGACAUCAGGGGCUGCCAGCCAAGCCUCACGCUGCUGCUGGGUCCCACCUGCUGGCCCCGUAACCCCAGAGGCUCUGCCAGGCGCUGCCUGCCCCAAGCUGCUCCAGCCCGGGCACGGCGCGGUGCCAC
rnacentral:lncRNA from 1 species